AAAAAAAAAAAAAAAAAAAAAAACUACAACAUUUUUUAAAGCGGUCAGAUUGUCUCCAAACGAUUCUCUUCUUGUCACAUUAGUUCAAUCAUGUAAGUUUUUCUAAGCAGAGUUUUUAUUAGUGGAUUUUUUUUUUUUUUUUUAUGAACAGAUAAAUUAGAAGAAGAAUUUUUAUUCAAUAUACACAUUAAUACACACACACACACACACACACACACACACACGGUGCAUCUAGAGUCAGGUCCGACCGCAUCCCUUCCAUUCGGACCAAAAACAUGCUCUAAUUUACGGCCGUUGGGUUUUAUGACUUCGAAUGGAUGGCUGAGAUUGCAGACAUCACUCACGUGUGAAAACUUUGCCCAAAUCUCCCAUUUUCGUUCCCUCUCCCCUUCUACCUCUCUAGUUCCUCUUCCACUCGCACCAGCUCCGUCUCAAAUCUUCCACUCACACCAGCUCUCUGGUUCCUCUUCCACUUGCACCAGCUCCCUAGUUCCUUUUUCCACUCGCACUAGCUCUCUAAUUCACCGCACUAGCUCUCUGAUUCCCCGCACCAGCUCUCCACUCGCACCAGUCAAAUUUUAGUAAUAUGAAAAAAGAUGUGGUAAAUUCAUUUGGGCAAAAGAAGAGGAAGCCAAACUUGAUGAAAUAGAUAUUCUUAUUGGUGAAAUUCGGCGUUUAUUAUUGCAAGUGGAGAAAUCUAAUAAUAUUCUUGAAGCAAUUCAGAAAAAUACAAAGAUGAGCAACCAAUAUGACAUUAAGACUGUUAUAGUGUUUUGUACUUUUAUUAUUUAUUUUCUUUAAAAUGUUUGCCUAAUGAUGUAGCCAAGUAAUAUAUGUGUCUGUUCGGUUGGUAAAUUAUGAAAGUAACAUGUAUGAUAUAUGUAUCCACAUUUCAAACUUUGUUUUCUAUGAAAGUACUGGUUUUGGUUUGUGGCUA